rnacentral:rRNA from 1 species
UGGGGAAUUUUGGACAAUGGGGGAAACCCUGAUCCAGCCAUCCCGCGUGUGCGAUGAAGGCCUUCGGGUUGUAAAGCACUUUUGGCAGGAAAGAAACGUCGCGGGUUAAUACCCCGCGAAACUGACGGUACCUGCAGAAUAAGCACCGGCUAACUACGUGCCAGCAGCCGCGGUAAUACGUAGGGUGCAAGCGUUAAUCGGAAUUACUGGGCGUAAAGCGUGCGCAGGCGGUUCGGAAAGAAAGAUGUGAAAUCCCAGAGCUUAACUUUGGAACUGCAUUUUUAAACUACCGGGCUAGAGUGUGUCAGAGGGAGGUGGAAUUCCGCGUGUAGCAGUGAAAUGCGUAGAUAUGCGGAGGAACACCGAUGGCGAAGGCAGCCUCCUGGGAUAACACUGACGCUCAUGCACGAAAGCGUGGGGAGCAAACAGGAUUAGAUACCCUGGUAGUCCACGCCCUAAACGAUGUCAACUAGCUGUUGGGGCCUUCGGGCCUUGGUAGCGCAGCUAACGCGUGAAGUUGACCGCCUGGGGAGUACGGUCGCAAGAUUAAAAACUU